rnacentral:rRNA from 1 species
CCUACGGGUGGCACCAGUGGAGAAUAUUGCACAAUGGGCGUAAGCCUGAUGCAGCCAUGCCGCGUGUAUGAAGAAGGCCUCCGGGUUGUAAAGUACUUUCAGCGGGGAGAAAGGUGUUGUGGUUAAUAACCACAGCAAUUGACGUUACCCGCAGAAGAAGCACCGGCUAACUCCGUGCCAGCAGCCGCGGUAAUACGGAGGGUGCAAGCGUUAAUCGGAAUUACUGGGCGUAAGGCGCACGCAGGCGGUCUGUCAAGUCGGAUGUGAAAUCCCCGGGCUCAACCUGGGAACUGCAUUCGAAACUGGCAGGCUAGAGUCUUGUAGAGGGGGGUAGAAUUCCAGGUGUAGCGGUGAAAUGCGUAGAGAUCUGGAGGAAUACCGGUGGCGAAGGCGGCCCCCUGGACAAAGACUGACGCUCAGGUGCGAAAGCGUGGGGAGCAAACAGGAUUAGAUACCCGGGUAGUC